rnacentral:rRNA from 1 species
CCUACGGGUGGCAGCAGUGGGGAAUAUUGCUCAAUGGGGGUAACCCUGAUGCAGCGACGCCGCGUGAGCGAUGACGUAUCUCUGUAUGUUAAGCUCCAUUUGUAGGGAAGAAAAUGACGGUACCUGUCUAAGAAUCCCCGGCUCAUUACGUGCCAGCAGCCGCGGUAAUACGUCGGGAGCAAGCGUUAUCCGGAUUUACUGGGUGUUAAGGGGGCGUAGUCGGUACUGCAAGCUAGAUGUGAAAGCCCGGGGCUCCACCCCGGGACUGCAGUUGAAACUGUAAGGCUAGAGUGUCGGAGAGGCAGGCGGAAUGCGUGGUGUAGCGGUGAAAUGCGUAGAUAUUAGGAAGAACACCGAUGGCGAAGGCAGCAUGCUGGCGGAUGACUGACGCUGAGGCACGAAAGCGUGGGGAGCGAACAGGAUUAGAUACCCGGGUAGUC